UUUUUUUUUUUUUUUUUUUUUUUUGCUUUUUCUUUGUUUUAUGGUGAUUUUUACUUUUUCAAGUAGCUUGUUAAAGGAGAAAUCAGAAAUGCACAUGAUUGUUUUAUACAGAGGUAUAAAGCUAUAAAAGAAUGUGUUGACUGAUUCAGCUAACUUAGAAAAUAAACCAGGCAUAAGUUUUUAGAUGAUUUAAUUACAUGGUGUUUAGAGCUACUUACCUAUGGAUUGAUUCAAUUGCUUUCACGUAUCAUAAGCUUAGGUAGAUAGCUUUUAGCUAACAUUCAUUUGAUAAGCAUAGUGUUUUAAAAAUUUUCUGACUUAUGUAAGUAUUCUUUCAUUUUACUUUUAAAGGAGAAGAAAUAUUCUAAUUUUAUAUUUAUUAAGAAUAUUUUCUCUACUGAAAUUGUAACUUUUAAAAAAUUGAGGUAAAUGGAAUAAUGGUCUAUAAUUUUUUUAGUUUCUAAAGAUUAUUUUCUUUGGAAAAAUCUCAAGAUUUUUGGAUGGGCAAGAAAUUUAAAGUAAUUUCUUUAAUUGUUUUAAAAUUAGACCAUAGCACAGUGGCGGAAGUCAGGAUACCAGGAUAUGCCUGAGUAUGAAAAUUUCCGCCACCUUCUGCAAGCCCCAGUGGAUGAUGCACAGGAAAUUCUUCACUCCAGAUUUCCAAUGCCAAGAUACAUUGACACUGAACAUGGAGGCAGCCAGGUAAGUAGUGUUAAUUUGUUUGUGUGUUUGUUUGUUGUUAGGUUUGCAGUGAGGUGUACCUGCUUGCCUUCUGAUUUUAAUAGAUUGCUUCAUAAAGCAGACAGAAAGGUAAGGAGAUAGGUGGGGAAGGUAUCAGUGCUUACUUUUUGCAUUAGCUUUUGAGAGCAAAACAGUAAGAUUAUUGACUAGUUGCCUAAACCUGGCACUUUCCAUCAUCUUCUGUCUCUAGCCUAGCUUCCUGAACAGGGCCAGGAUGGCAUUGUGGUGGUAUACUAGCUUUGGUUGAACAAGAAAAUGUGAACAGCUUGGAAAGUAAUAUACUUUUCUUAAAGCCGUUUAUUUACUGUUAAAGUCUAUGAAUAUGACAUUUGUGGUAACUUACAUUUUUUCAUUGUCUUCAUUCUAUCAUUCCAAUUUUCUAGAAAAUAAAAUUUUAUGUAAUAGGAAAACACUGUAGUAUUAUGAAAAGGUUUUGUGGCUUUUAGGAUUUUGAGGAUACAUAUACGUUAGAUACAUAUACAUACAUACACAGUUGCUUUGAGACCUUCAGAAGGCUAAGUUAGGUUCCUUAACAUACUCUCAUAAAAUACUUCUUACUUCUCUUUUGUAAUUCUUAUAAGAGUUAUAAUAAAUUAAUUAUAAGUUGUUAUUAAUUUGUUUUACAUGCUCUUUGAAGGCAGGGACUAUGCUUUGUAUUCCCUAGUGCCUAGUACGGUAUUAUAAAAUAGGUAGCAAAUAUCAGUAACUGUUAUUCAGAAAUGAUAAUUACUAUUAGUUUUACUGUAUUUAUAUGAGAGUUAUUUCAUAUUGAGAAUUUGCAAAGUACUUCUGCAUGCCUUAUCUCAUUUGAUCCUCAUAAGAAUUCUAGUGUUAUUUUCAUUUAACAGAUAAUAAAACUGAGAUCUAGGUUACUUAUGGCCAAGGGAACACAGUAAAUACAGGAGUGGGAUUUGAGUCCUGGUACUCCAGGGCCAGUGCUCUUCACUGUUAGGUUAAACUGAUUCCUUAGAGAGUAGAAAAAGAUUUUGUAUGAUACUAAAUUUCAAAAGAUGUUACUGUCUAUGUGCUUCCAUUAUGAGUUAAAAAUCUUACUGGUUCUUUCAUUGAUGUCUCACUGUGUGUAUUACCAUUUUCCUCUUUUAUUCUGGUUAUUAUUUUCAUGAUGAUAAGCCAUAGUGGGUAGAAGGAUAAAAUGUUGGAUCACUUGUCUCAUAGAAUCACCUGUGGUUUAAGAAAGCUUAAGGGUCAUUAUUUUAAGCAAAAGAACAUACAGAUUUUCAUGGCUUUUGUUUUUAUCAUUAUUUGGGAUUUUGAACUUCUGACCAAGUGUUUAGUAAUUUCACACCAACCUUGUCAUAAUUGUUGCACACAUAAUUUUUAUAUGCUGAGUUUUGGACUCAACAAUGUAUUUGUUAUUUUGGAUGUAUGAUUUGGAGAGAAGAGGUGCAUUUAUUAUUUAUUUGUAACACUUAGUGACCUAUACAUUUCAAAGUUUAAUCUUUUAAAAAUUAAGUUAAUAAAAUUAAUUUUACCAACACAUACUAAAUAAAAUUGAUUUUGCAUGAUAUAAUUAUUCAGCUGAUAUUGACUGAAACCAUUUUUGAUGGAUAAUGUUAUUUCUUCUUUGCUUUUAAGGCCCGUUUCCUCCUUUCAAAAGUCAACCCUUCACAGACUCAUAAUAAUAUGUAUGCCUGGGGGCAGGAGUCUGGAGCACCUAUUCUUACAGAUGAUGUUAGUUUACAAGUGUUUAUGGAUCACUUGAAGAAACUUGCUGUGUCCAGUGCUGCUUGAAGUGCUAAUAAUGUUAAAGACACUUAAGAAGAUGAAAUAAUAUUCAAAUUUCAUUUUUUCCUUUUUCCAUUUAUCUGUGGAAACCAACAGAUAUUGCUCUAUAUUUUUUGUAUUAGUAUGGUUUGAGACAACAUAUGGAAAAUGUUCACAUUUGUAGAUUAAGCUGGAAUUAUAAUGAGAGCAAUAAGAACAAAUUUAUUUUGCUUACCACAGUGUUAUAGCUGGUUCUAGAAAUUUGAAGUCUUUAUAACUUAAUUAUGUUUAAUAAAAAAUAGAGUCUGCCUCGUACUACAGAUGUAACUCAUUUGUAUAUUGCAGACAGACCCAAAGUGGCACUGAAUUUUCUUGCUCACCUUUUAAAAACUUGUUCCUUAAUUUUAGCCAGAAAGCAAAAAAACAAUAGUAAUGAUAAAUGUGAACAUUUUUGCUUAUUCAUUGAAUAUUUUUCUGUAAUUUUCAGCACUUAUGUAUACACUUUUUCUGUACUUACUAGGUUAAGGCAGAUUUAUUUUUAUGAUUUGUUUAGGAAUUAUUUGAUUUUAUAAUGGUAAUUUUCAUGAUGAUAAUGUUUUUGGUUAUUUGGAAAGAUAGUUUAGAGAUGAAAGGUUUUUUUGGGUAACAAUCCCGCAGCUGACAAAAAAUGUGAAAUUUCCACAAAAUAUCCAACUUAUGUGACUAAACGCAGUAGUUUUUUUAAAAGGGGAGAUAGAAAAUAAAUGGUUUUGUUGGAGUGCAUUUUAGUAAGCCUUUGCAGUAAAAUGACGGUUGUAACUACUAAACCAAAUUUAGUUUUCACAGCAUGGUUUUGUUGUUUUCCCCUUGUUUUUCAGAGGUAAAUUUUGCAUUAUAUCCUUCAGUAUUUUAACACUAUUUUGGCAGUUUACACAUUACUUUUUGUUUUUCCUUCCUUUUUGUGAAAUGUAUUAAGUUGUGGUUCUUAUUGAAACAGUAUUAUAUAAUGUUUGCUUAAUUAUAUCAUGUGAUGCUCAGUUCUAUUUUGAUUUAUUCAUUAGUAUUCACUUUUACCUUUAAAGUUUACUUGUAGCAAAUAUGUUUACAUUGAUAAAGCCAGAUAUGUUUUGACAAUGAAAUUUACAUAUCAAGUACUGCAAAUAAAAGGUGGUGCUAUGAUAUAUGCUUAGGAGGACAGUUUUAAUGAUUGUACUUGCAUGAACACAAUCAUAUGAUGGUAAAGCAGAAACUUAAGAAAAAAUUGUUUAUGUGUUAUAUUCAAUUAGCUUAAAUAAGUUGCUUUGUUAUAUUUUAUUUGAAUUGAACUACGCUAGGCCUAAAUGCCAAUAAAAUAUACUUUUCACUGUU
rnacentral:lncRNA from 1 species